rnacentral:rRNA from 1 species
AUGUUGCCUCGGCGGAUCAGCCCGUUCCUCGGAACGGCCCGCCGCAGGACCCUAAACUCUGUUUUUAGUGGAACUUCUGAGUAAAAAAACAAAUAAAUCAAAACUUUCAACAACGGAUCUCUUGGUUCUGGCAUCGAUGAAGAACGCAGCAAAAUGCGAUAAGUAAUGUGAAUUGCAGAAUUCAGUGAAUCAUCGAAUCUUUGAACGCACAUUGCGCCCGCCAGUAUUCUGGCGGGCAUGCCUGUUCGAGCGUCAUUUCAACCCUCAAGCCCAGCUUGGUGUUGGGAGCUGUCGUCUGACACUCCCCAAAUACAUUGGCGGUCACGUCGAGCUUCCAUAGCGUAGUAAUUUACACAUCGUUACUGGUAAUCGUCGCGGCCACGCCGUUAAACCCCAACUUCUGAAUGUUGACCUCGGAUCAGGUAGGAAUACCCGCUGAACUUAAGC